NAUUGAAGAGUUUGAUUCUGGCUCAGAUUGAACGCUAGCGGCAUGCUUAACACAUGCAAGUCGAACGGCAGCGCAGGGAGNCUUNCUCCUGGCGGCGAGAGUGGCGGACGGGUGAGUAAUGCGUAGGAAUCUACCUUGUAGUGGGGGAUAACCUGGGGAAACUCGGGCUAAUACCGUAUAAUCUCUUUGGAGCAAAGCGGGGGAUCUUCGGACCUCGUGCUAUAAGAUGAGCCUACGUCGGAUUAGCUUGUUGGUGGGGUAAUGGCCUACCAAGGCGACGAUCCGUAGCUGGUCUGAGAGGACGAUCAGCCACACUGGGACUGAGACNCGGCCCAGACUCCUACGGGAGGCAGCAGUGGGGAAUAUUGGACAAUGGGGGAAACCCUGAUCCAGCAAUGCCGCGUGUGUGAAGAAGGCCUUCGGGUUGUAAAGCACUUUCGGUGGGGAAGAAAUUCUCAAGGGUAAUAUCCUNGGGCGUUGACGUUACCCACAGAAGAAGCACUGGCUAACUCUGUGCCAGCAGCCGCGGUAAUACAGAGAGUGCAAGCGUUAAUCGGAAUCACUGGGCGUAAAGCGCGCGUAGGUGGAUAUUUAAGUCGGAUGUGAAAGCCCUGGGCUNNNCCUGGGAAUUGCACCCGAUACUGGGUAUCUUGAGUAUGGUAGAGGGAANUGGAAUUUCCGGUGUAGCGGUGAAAUGCGUAGAUAUCGGAAAGAACACCAGUGGCGAAGGCGACUUCCUGGACCAAUACUGACACUGAGGCGCGAAAGCGUGGGGAGCAAACAGGAUUAGAGACCCUGGUAGUCCACGCNGUCAACGAUGAGAACUAGCUGUUGGGAAGUUCCCUUCUUAGUAGCGAAGCUAACGCGUUAAGUUCUCCGCCUGGGGAGUACGGCCGCAAGGUUAAAACUCAAAGAAAUUGACGGGGGCNCGCACAAGCGGUGGAGCAUGUGGUUUAAUUCGAUGCAACGCGAAAAACCUUACCUACCCUUGACAUCCUCGGAACUUGUCAGAGAUGAUUUGGUGCCUUCGGGAACCGAGUGACAGGUGCUGCAUGGCUGUCGUCAGCUCGUGUCGUGAGAUGUUGGGUUAAGUCCCGUAACGAGCGCAACCCUCGUCCUUAGUUGCCAGCGAGUCAAGUCGGGAACUCUAAGGAGACUGCCGGUGAUAAACCGGAGGAAGGUGGGGAUGAUGUCAAGUCAUCAUGGCCCUUACGGGUAGGGCUACACACGUGCUACAAUGGGCAGUACAAAGGGUUGCCAAGCCGCGAGGUGGAGCUAAUCCCAGAAAACUGCUCGUAGUCCGGAUUGGAGUCUGCAACUCGACUCCAUGAAGUUGGAAUCGCUAGUAAUCGCGAAUCAGCAUGUCGCGGUGAAUACGUUCUCGGGCCUUGUACACACCGCCCGUCACACCAUGGGAGUGAAUUGUACCAGAAGCGGGUAGGCUAACCUUCGGGAGGCCGCUCACCACGGUAUGAUCCANGACNNNNNNNNNNNNNNNNNNNNNNNNNNNNNNNNNNNNNNNNNNNNNNNNNNNNNNNNNN
rnacentral:rRNA from 13 species